rnacentral:lncRNA from 1 species
AAAAGAACAGGAGGGAAUGAGAGGCUCAGCCCCAUAGACCCUUCUCCCUGCUGCCAUCCACUCAGGGCAUUGUGCUUAGUGAAAGCCCAGUUUCCGCAGGGAUUACUUUGGGCACACAACAUUCUAGGAGCUGGAUGUCCAGGAAUUCCUGUUAAUUAGGCAUUUAUUCACGGAAUAAAUGUUUCCCUGAAGAGCUUUCUGCAGCUGGCCAAUGUUCCGGUUUGGUCGUGGGCAGUGAGAUGCCCAUUAGUCUAGAAUACACGACAGUGUGAGGCGCACGUUCACACGUGAAUUGCCCGUAGUCAAGGAUCUUGCUAUGGUGCCCAGGCUGGCCUUGAACUUCUGGCCUCAAGCAAUCCACCCAUCUCAGUCUCCCGAGUAGCCGGGAUUACAGAUCUACAUUUAGAACAGGACUGCAAAGAAAGGAAAGGAGAAAUGAAGAAAAGGAAGCAGACAAAGUUCUGGUUUUCAGUAGUUCCUUGGAGAGCUCAAGACUCAGACUCUGACCCUGUCUGCAAAGGGGGAUCGUCCAGCCUUUGAAAUAACCAUUUCCUUCCCUCCUGGCCUUUUUCAGAUCAGAGAGGUGGGAGGGGGCGUGGAGAUUUAGUUCCCGGAUGCACUGAACAGGAGGCUGUGAGCUUUCCUCUGAUGUGCGACUCUUCUGCAGGGGCCCUGGCCCUGGGAGGCGGGGCUCUGGGCUGCGGCAGCUCCUCCUGUGGUCUACCUUGGCUUCACUGCAGGCCCAGCUGCUGCUGACCACGCGGGUUUCUUUUAAGAGGCUUGGCUGACCCUCAGCACAGCUGAAAUGUUCUGAGACCUUGAAUGUCAGAGAUGGAAGCAACUUUAUGAUUCUCUGGGCCAGAGGUUCCCAGGCUGGGGUCCCUGGACUUGGGGUGCUCAGACUAUUCCCGGUUCUUUCAAAAGCUGAAAAGAAACAGUAUAUAGCCCCUGUGUGAGGGCUCACGGGCUCGUAAAAGUAUCCGGUGUCUUGACUUUUCUCUGAAAUCAGCUCCAGCUGGUCCCUCUGUACCCUGGUGUUGCUGGUGACAGUGAUAGCUUCCCACUGAACUUAGCUGCUAGAAGCAAGGUGAAGCCCUUCACACACCAUCUCACUGAUCUUCGAUCCUGUAAGAUGGGUACGUUUAUGAGUCCUAUUUUGCAGAUGGAGACACUAAGUGCCAAAGGGGUUAAGCACUGUGCCCGAGUUCACACACCCAGCAGCCUGACUCCACAGCUCCAACCCCCAGCUACUAGCAAAUAGUCCUCUGAAAGCUCAGUUAUUUAGCUUUGAACACAGCAAAACUCAUCAUUAUUCAGGGAAGAUAAUUUAGUAGAGAAAAUGUUGAGAUCUAAGUACUACACUUAGGAGGAAUAAUAAAAGGGUUGGUGGAAUAGUUGAGGAUAUGCCAUUUUUAAUUUUUUAUUGAUUUUGUUUUGUUUUGUUUUGUUUUUCUUUGCUCUUGAGAGAUGGCACAUGCCACUUUGUUUUGUAAAACAAAGGCCUAGAGAAGUGAGGGUCCUG